rnacentral:lncRNA from 1 species
UAAUUGGCAGCCUCGAAUUACUCAAUUUCAUAAUCAACAAAAUAUAUUUUUAUUUGUCACAUUUAUUUCUAAAACAUCAAAAAUCCCGUUUUAAUCUCGUUUUCAUUUCAUAAAAUACAUAAAGAGCAUUUAAAAAUAAACUCUAGAUAAUUUACAAUAAUAAUAGGUUUCUCACCGUUCGUACAAAUUAACUGAUUUUUUUAGGUGCCUCGAUCACUGUUCGUCGGGUACGACUUCCUUGCCUUUAUCGGAAGGCUCUCCUCCUAAACACAUUGCAAAAUUUACCCAAUUCACCACAUUGAUGUUAAAUCUCUAUAUAAUUGACUUAAAUCCUAUACUAAUGCAUGGUAUGAAAUGCAAUUGCCUAAAACGGCUUAAACGCAGUAUUAACCUAUUUUUGGCACUUUACCAGUUAAAUUGCUAACGCGCUCCAUUUUAGCUAUAAAUUGUCAUAUUUUCUCCACAACAUUUCUAACCAUUAAAUAUUAACCAAUAACCUUCUAAAAUCACCAAAAUCAGCUCACUUUCCUCCUUGGAAAAUUCGGUCAAAAAUGGAACAUUUACUCGGUUAAUUUUCCACUUUGUUUUUCUAUCACAUUUAACCAUUUUUCAUCAUUUUCUCUUCAUUUCUCUUAGAAUAAAAAUCAGUUCAUCAUCAUUGUACAUCAAUGCAUAUUCAGCCAAGGGUGGGUAUUGUGAAAAUUUCAUGCUUUCUUGCCCAAUUUAAUUUCUAUACACAUUUAACUAACUAAAACUACCAAUUUAACUAAAAAUCAAAACCUAAAAAUUUUAAAAUCUCUCCCCUAGAAUUUCGGCCAACCCUUGGUUUCACUUUUUGAUCUCUCUCCUCAAGCAUGCUUAAUGGAAAUAAAGGCAUAGGAAAGGUAAAAAUCAAGCUAAAAUUGAAAAAUCUUACCGUUAGACUCGUAAACGGAGAAAAAACGCGAUUUCCCCUUUGAAUUUUCUAGUUUUCCUUUGUUUUUCUCUUUUCUUCCUUUCCUCACUAUUUUAUCUCUUGUUCUUUCCUUAUGGCCAGUCAACACUUAAUAUGGGGUUUAAAUGGGCUGACUUUUCAUUAAUAUAAGAUUAAAUCAUUAAAAAGUGCCAUGUGUCACUUUCCCAUUGGCCCGUUUUUAAAAUUUCAUCCAUUUGUUUCCAAAUUUUCACCAUACACUUGUCCCACAUAUCCAUAGCUUAGAUACAAUUCUCAGACUUAUCCAAAGUCUUGGUGGAGUAAUUUUUGAAAUUUACACUUUUACCACCGUAAAAGUAAAAAAUUACAUUUUUGCCCAAAAACUGAAAAAUUGCCCAUAGACAUAUUUUUCAUCCCUUAUACUCAUACCAUUUCCCAAUUUGUCAAAUUUGAUCUAAAUUCUCUCAAAAUCUCAAAUUUUAUCCUCGAGUGGCAAAAUUACGAUUUUAUCCCUAAACAUCAAAAUUUCCAAUUUUACCCCAAAUGAACCCUUGAACUCCGAACAAUCAUUUUUAGUCAUUCUUGGACUAUAAAAUAUUAAAUUUCAUCCUACAAUUCCUAUUUGAACUAGUUCGAGGUUAAAUCAACUCAAGUGUACCGUUAGGUACAAUACCGGGUUCCAUCAUUCUUAGGACUUUCUUAGUGUAAUAACAUGCUACUCAAUGCAUGUAUGUCAUGACAUGUGUUUAUAGGGUCGGGUUUUACACCGUGCCUCUCUAAUAGGUUGGUCCACAAAAUCAGCCCACUGCAGCAAGCUAAACCCACCAUACAAUAAAAAUUCAACAGCAUGAUAUGGCAAUUUUAUCAUUAUCCAGCCUAUCAAGGCGAACAACAGUUUAUACAUUUCAACACAAAUACCAAUUCAGUCAUGCAUGCCAAUAUUGUCAUAAGCCAAUCAAUUAGAACUAUAAAUUCACAAUACAUCAAAUGGUCUCCAAUUACUCUAUUUUCAAAGCCUUCAUUCAAUUUCAAGACCAUUUAUGAAAUCAUUUUAUUUAAACACAUUUUGUUUAUAAAACCUAAAAAUUUACCAUUUAAACUCAUUUUUCAUAAAAUCACAAAAUCGGAUAAAAACCACUAUAGAUAAUUAAGACGAUAGUAAGGUUCACAAUGUCUAGAGUGCGAAUUUUCAAAGUACUUUGACUACUGGUCCUCGGAUGCAAUUUCCUUACCUUAAUCGGAAGACUCACCACCUUGACAUAGUACAAAAUCGAGAAACUUACUACAUUGGUACUAAAUCGAAAUUAAACUAAUUUAGACUACUAAUGCAUGAUAUGGAAUGCAAAAUGCACGAGUAACCAACUAAACCCAUAUUGGCCUAAUUCGUCUUAUCACCCGAUUAAUUGGCCAACGUGUCCAAUUUAGCUCCAAAUUGCUCCAUUUCUUUUCCAAUACCUUAAUUCACCAAACACAAGUCAAAUAACCUAAAAUUUGGCAAAACCAUCUUCACUUUUCUUCUUAGAAUUUUCGGUCAAUAAUGGUGCAUUAACACCGUGAUGUUUCCUACUACUUUUCCACACCAUAAUUCAUCAUUUUCUAACCAAUUCUCUUAAAAUAAAAAAUCAAAUUCAUCCUCACUCAAUACAAGGUAGGUUCGGCCAUUGAUGGGUGCUGGGGAAAAUGAAUUCUUUUUUUAUUGUUUUGCUUCUAGAUAUGGUAUACUAACUAAAAACACUAACAUAACUUGAAAUCAAAUGAAUCCAACAUCAUUCUCUCUUCAUACCCAUUCAGCUAGCCAUGAAUUCACCAUGAAAACAUGAAAUUUAACCAUGAAAAAUAAGGAGAAAUGCUUAAGGAAAAUAGAUUUCAAGUUUAAAUUGAGAAAUCCUACCUUUUUCACUUGUUUUCCUUGAUUUUCCACACUUUUUCUCUUGUAAUUCUCCACCUAGGAUUCUUGUUCUUUCUUUUCUUCCUUUGUUCUUCUUUGGCCGGC